UGAGCAACCUACCCUUGACUCUGGAAUAACAGUUGGAAACAGCUGCUAAUACCGGAUAUGACCUCUGACGACAUCGUCUGGAGGUGGAAAGCUCCGGCGGUCAAGGAUGGGCUCGCGGCCUAUCAGCUUGUUGGUGAGGUAACGGCUCACCAAGGCUUCGACGGGUAGCCGGCCUGAGAGGGCGACCGGCCACACUGGGACUGAGAUACGGCCCAGACUCCUACGGGAGCAG
rnacentral:rRNA from 1 species